GGGGAGCAAACAGGAUUAGAUACCCUGGUAGUCCACGCUGUAAACGAUGUCGACUUGGAGGUUGUUCCCUUGAGGAGUGGCUUCCGGAGCUAACGCGUUAAGUCGACCGCCUGGGGAGUACGGCCGCAAGGUUAAAACUCAAAUGAAUUGACGGGGGCCCGCACAAGCGGUGGAGCAUGUGGUUUAAUUCGAUGCAACGCGAAGAACCUUACCUGGUCUUGACAUCCACAGAACUUAGCAGAGAUGCUUUGGUGCCUUCGGGAACUGUGAGACAGGUGCUGCAUGGCUGUCGUCAGCUCGUGUUGUGAAAUGUUGGGUUAAGUCCCGCAACGAGCGCAACCCUUAUCCUUUGUUGCCAGCGGUUAGGCCGGGAACUCAAAGGAGACUGCCAGUGAUAAACUGGAGGAAGGUGGGGAUGACGUCAAGUCAUCAUGGCCCUUACGACCAGGGCUACACACGUGCUACAAUGGCAUAUACAAAGAGAAGCGACCUCGCGAGAGCAAGCGGACCUCAUAAAGUAUGUCGUAGUCCGGAUUGGAGUCUGCAACUCGACUCCAUGAAGUCGGAAUCGCUAGUAAUCGUGGAUCAGAAUGCCACGGUGAAUACGUUNCCCNGGCCUUGUACACACCGCCCGUCACAACCAUGGGAGUGGGUUG
rnacentral:rRNA from 1 species